rfam:Oryza glumipatula chromosome 1, whole genome shotgun sequence.
AAUAAGUGCACUCAUGAGUUUCCGCGCCCAACUUUGAUCAUCCGUCUUAUUUGAAAUUUUUUUAGAAUUAACAUUUUUGUUGUUAUGAGAUGAUAAAACAUGAAUCUUUACUCGUGACUUAUUUUUAAUUUUUUCAAAAAGUUUUCAAAUAAGACGAACGGUCAAAGUUGAACGCGGAAAACCAUGGCUGCACUUAUU